UUAUUUGCCAUUCAGAGUCAACUUUUAUUGAGCACCUCCUAUUUUCCAGAACCAAAAACCUUACAGAAUUCUGAAAGCCAUCCUUUAAGGUAAGUAACAGUAACUUCUACUUAACAGACA